AUGGAGACUGAACUGCCAGAACGGAAAAGAAAAAUGGGUUCAACUCGCAAGAGUACUGGUAGGUUUAAAGGUGAGAGAAAACUUGAUGACGUGAGGACCACUGAAGAGUUAGAUGAAGAAUAUGUAACUCAACCAAACACAUCAACCACUGAGGAACAACAUGCUUCUCUAACAAAAGAGGAACAAUCAAGUUUUCCUUCUGAUUUAUCCCUUCAGACCAAAAGUUCUGGUUUUGGAAAGGAGUCUGGAACAACUCCUGUGUUUGCAGUUUCAGAAAAUAAAGGAAAAGGUACAAUCCACCAUCAAGAAAUAACCUUUCAUUCACAUGAGGUAGUAAGUGAGAUGCCUAUAGACGAGGCAAUGGGGCCAUCUGUCCAUUCUAUUCCUGUCACAGUAGCUGAACGUGAUUUGUUGCGGGAGGAUUCAGUCAUGUUUAAUGAACCAAAAACACUUAGUCACCAAGAAACCCAAAUAGCCAGUACCUCUGGACAAAAAAGAAGGAUGGGCUCAACCCGCAGACCUCUCGGAGGGCAAAACAGUGAAAUUGUAGGUGUGCAAGAACAUUCACGAAACAUGACAGAGAAUGAAAGGAAAGCAAAAGUCAUGGGCGAAGCAAAGUUGAAAAUGUCAGAAGAGAUGGCGCAAACAUGGGAUGAUGUGGCAAGAGUUGAUCCAUCGUCCCACACAGAAUCAGCUUUGCUUUUAAGUCAGUCUCUAUUGGCCGAUAGAGCUGAGCUGAAAGAGUCUGAUGUUUCGGCUGGAACUGAAACUAUGAACCAAUCAGUUGCUUUUCCCCUUGUUGAUUCAGAAAAGCCCCUACCUGAAACAUCUAGCCACCAUGGGACUCCAUUACUGAACGAGGCAAUGGAUUUUAAGUUUGGUUCACACACUGAGGAUUUAGAUGUUCUAAAUAAAGUUUUAAAAGAAGCAGGAAGUCAUUUAAGUGAUAACAGCCAACAUGUGUCUGAUACAAGAAAAGAUACAAACCCAUCUUAUGACUUUAGCGAUGUGAACACAGAAUCCAAGAAGGAGGUUCUAAAGCAGAAAGAGGAACCACAAUUAGAGGAACUUGAGUUGCAUGAUCAAGAAUCUUCAUUAAGCCAACAUGACAUAGCUACUCUAAAUAAUAACUAUGAUUGUUCUAUGGUUCAACAUAUAAUGGGAGGAAGUAGAAGUUUUGAUAUGCCUAUGUCUAACAUUAGCCAUGCUGAACCCACAAUGACCAAUUUACCACAUGAGAUGAGGGAUGCUGUUGAAGAAAGGCAAGAGAUUAAUAUAGAAAUGAAACAAGAAAAUAAUGUUUGUGAUGUUGCUUCAGUAAAAUGUGAUGGUCUGACUAAUUUAGUGUCUAUUACGGAAGAAGAUGAAGAUCCCCACAUUCUAGCAACGAGAGAAAAUGAGAAUAUGAGUGUUGAAAGAGUAUAUGCAUUUGAAAUGACAGACCAGGGUGAUGUAAGAGAUCACAAUGUAAAACAAAUAAUAAUGGAUGUAAGAGAUCAUGAAAAAGACGGAGAAACAAGCACAGAGACCAUUUGGAUUUCACACAAGAAACCGUGUGAUGUUUCAAAUGAAAAUAAGGAGCUAUAUAAAGGACAAGAGCAUCAUUCAUCAAAUAUAUCUCUAACACACAGUCAAACACACGAUGAUGCUGGGAAGAUGCUAGAAAAUGAGGAGGUUAGAAAAGACAAAAAAGAGACUGAGAAUACUGCAGUUGAUGAUGUGACCUCAAAGUCAGAGGAAAUGUUUAGUUUUGAAGACUCAGCAACAGAUACAGGAUCUCACGCACAACAACAACUGUUUAUGCAAUCUCCUGAUAAAGAAGACUAUGACUUGCAUGAAAAUGUGAAUGAGAAACAUGAAAAGGAAGAAAUACUUUUCAGUGUAGAAUCAGAGAAUGUAGCUUUUGAUAGAGGCAAUGAGAGAAGUGAAGGAACAGACAGAAUUAAGGAGAUGGAUGCAGCACCAGUCCUGACAUUAGAUGUGGGAGAUGCAGACCUACGUUUAGAAGUUGAAGCACAGAACAAAACAUUUGACUCAACAAACAGUGAAGCAGGUGGAACAGAAGAGAAUAUCAAUGGUGCUAGUGUUUUAGUCAGAGAAAAUAAAGUUAUUGGAAAUACAGUGGAGAGUAAUAUGACUCCUGAUGCACACAUGGAAUCAUUGAAAGUAUCUGAAAAUGCUGAGCAAGAAGUUUCAGGAGAAACAAUUCUCAAGCAAAGUGACAUCAACAUCGUUCCUGAUGAUUCUCAUGAAGAGAAGGCACACGCAAAAUCAAGUCCAGUUAUUCAGAAGAGAAAAAUGGGCUCAACUCGUAGACCUCUCAGAGGGAAUAAAGGACUAAGAAAAGGUCAUGAUGAAAAAGAAAUCUUCAAUUUGGAGGAUGAACCCAGUCCAGAUGAAUCCAGAUAUACUGCAGUGAGUAUCUGUGACAUUUCAGAAUCACAAACUUUCUCAAAAAUCUAUGCAGGGUCCCAGGAAAAUACUGGAGAUGUUGAAAUAGUGCCAGCAGAGGGAGACACAGAAUCCCACUCAGAAAUCAAAACGUUUGACUCAACAGCAUUUGGAGAAGUUGAAGUCCGAGAAGUUGACGUUAUUGGAGGUACCGUGGGCAGUAAUAUGACUACUGAAUCAGAUUUUCAUCAAACUUCUGAUGCAAACAUGGAAACGUUGAAAGUAUCUGAAAAUCCUGAUAGUGAAGAUUUAGAACUCAGAAGUUCACAAUCAGAAAUUCAACCAGAAAACAAAAUGAUUGAGUUAACAUCUGAAGCAGAAAGAACAGAAGAUACCAUCUGUGAAGCUAGUGUUUUAGUCAGAGAAGAUGAGUUUACUGUAGAUACGGUUAUAGUGGACAGUAAUAUGAAUAUAGAGUCAGAUUUGCUUCAGAGUGACACUUUAAAUGAUGCAAAACUGGACACACUGAAAUUAUCUAAAAAUACUGUGAGUGUUUCUGCUGUUACGGAUUCUGUGCUUCUUGUGCAAGAGGAUGUCACUGAAGGAUCAAGAGGGACAGACACAUUUCCUGAGCAAAGUGACAUCAACAUCAUUCCUGAAUAUUCUCAUGGACAGGAGGUACACUCAAUAUCAAGUUUAAUAGUUCACAAGCGAAAAAUGGGCUCAACACGUAGACCUCUCAGAGGGAACAAAGGACAAAGAAAAGAAAUAGAAUAUCAUGAUGAAAAUGAGACACUUGACAGUGAAGGUAUGAUCAAUGCAGAUAAAGAAACAAUUUGUUUGGAGAAUGAACCCAGUCCAGAUGAAUCUACAUUACAAAGUUUAAAAGAUGGAGUUAAAGAACAGGAGAUGGAAAUAUGUGAGAAGAAUGAUGUUGAUCCUGUUAAAGGGUCUGAAUCCACUCUCCUGCAGUCAUCAUGUACUUCAGAUUUAGUGUCUAAGGAAUCCACUGCAAUAAGUAUCUGUCACAUCACAGAAUCACAAACCCUCACAGAUAUUCAUGUAGAGUCUCAAGAAAAUACUGGAGAUGCUGAAAGAGUGACAGCAAAGGAUGACAAAGACUUACAAUUAGAAAUUGACUCACAGAACAAAACAUUUGACUUAGCAACCAGUGAAGCAGAUGGACCAGAAGAGAACAUCCAAGACAUUAGUGUGGCAUUAAUCAGAGAAGUUGAAGUUAUUGGAGAUACAGUUACAGUGGAGAGUAAUAUGACUACUGAGUCAGAUUUUCUUCAAACUUCUCCUGAUGCACAUAUGGAAGCAUUGAAAGUAUCUAAAAAUGCCGAGAGAGAAGUUUCAGGAGAAACAAACACAAUUCUUGAACAAAGUGACAUAAGCAUCAUUCCUGCAGAUUUUCACAGAGAAGAGACACACUCAAAAUCAAGUCCAGUUAUUCAGAAGAGAAAAAUGGGCUCAACUCGUAGACCUCUCAAAGGGAAUAAAGGACUAAGAAAAGGUCAUAAUGAAAAAGAAAUCUUCAAUUUGGAGGAUGAACCCAGUCCAGAUGAAUCCAGAUAUACUGCAGUGAGUAUCUGUGACAUUUCAGAAUCACAAACUUGCACAAAAAUCCAUGCUGGGUCCCAGGAAAAUACUGGAGAUGUUGAAGGAGUGCCAGCAGAGGGAGAUACAGAAUCACACUCAGAAAACAAAACAAUUUACUCGCCAGCAUUUGAAGGAGAAACAACAGGAGAGAACAUCUGUGCAGCUAGUGCUUUAGACAGAAACGUUGAGUUUAUUGGAGAUGCAGUUAUAGUGGAGAGUAAUAUGACUACAGAGUCAGAUAUUGUUCAAAAUGACACUUCCACUGAUGCACAACUGGAAACUUUGGUAUCUGAAAAUGCUGAGAAUGAAAUGUCAGGAAAAACAGACAUAAUUUCCAAACAAAGUGUUCCCAACAUCAUUCCUGAAGAUCUUCAUGGAGAGGAGGUACACACAAAAUUGAACCUUAAUGUGCAUAAGCGAAAAAUGGGCUCAACUCGUAGACCUCUUAGAGGGAACAAAGGACAAAGAAAAGUGAGAGUAGAAUCCAAGGAAAAUAAUGGAGAUAGUGAAGGAGUGUCAGAAGAGGAAGACACAGAAACACACUCAGAAAUUCAAAACUGGGAUAACGUGGUUGAUCAGAAUGUGACACAAGAAAUUAUGAAUGUAAGAGAUGUUGAAGAUGAGGAGAGAAAGACCACGAAGACACUGGACAUGUCAGUGCAGGUGCUAUGUGAUGAUUUGGAACUAGAGCAAAGAUCAGAUGCAUCUCAAACACAAACUGGUCCAUCACAGGAAGAUACUGGCUCAUAUUUCCCAGAAAGAACUGCAGAUAUUGUGAGAGACAGUAAUAGUCUUUCUGAUAUGGUCAUGUCUGAUGCCCUUCUUAUGGAGGAAACCCAAAUUCAUGUGUCAUCUAAUGAUGUUCCUCCAACAGAGGUUGUUGAAAUGAAUCCAGUCUCCAAAAAGUCUAUGCAGAAGAGAAAAAUGGGGUCAACUCGGAAGAGAGGUAAGAGGAUGGUAAAUGACAAGGAGGUUGAAGAAGAGAAAGAGGGAGAAACUGAAAAUACAACAGCUGAUGAUGAGACCACAGAGUCAGAGGAGAAAUUAACACUUGAAGAAGCCAUUACAGGAUCUCCUGUACAUCAGCAACUGUUCAGUUCAUCUGCUGAUAAAGAAGACCAUGACAUUCAGGAUAUUGUUUGUAAAUCAUAUGUGCAGGCAGAAAACUCAGAACAAAAUGAUCAAAACUCUACCAUAAAUCCAGAACUAUUGAUAGAAUCUGAAUGUUCUUCAAAUGUUGCUGCUGAAAUGGUUUCAGACCUUCCAUUGGGAGAUGUCGACACAUACUUAGAUCCUAAACAAAGUGUCAUUCCUAAAGAGUCUCAUAGAGAAGUUCAACCAAACUUGAAUCCGGUUGUUCAAAAACGAAAAAUGGGGUCGACACGUAAGACGCUCAAUGGGAACAAAGGGCAGGGAAGAAUAGCAGAAUCCAAAAAGAUGGAUGGAAAUAGUGAAGGAAUGAUACAGGAACAGGAUACAGAACCACAUUUAGAAACCAGUGCAAGGAAAACUGAAUUUGAUGAAGCGGUUGAACAAAACUUCCCAUUUGAAUGUUCUCAUCCAGUGGCUUCUUCAAACAUGCUCCUUGAACCAGAAAAUGGAGUGACGGAAGUUUCUCAGAAUAUUCAUGACCUAUCUGAGGUGAGUGAAGAAAAGGGGAUGGACAAUACUGGAAAUGACAGUAAUAGUCUGAGUGAGGCAAUUAAUCUCAAGGAGGGGACAAAGGUCAAAUUUGUCUUGACAAUUAGUCACGAAGAUGUUCAUCAGAUUGUGUCAGAGCCUGAACAAACUGAAAACACACACAAGGUUAUUCCUACACAAGAACUAAGAGCCACUCUGGAUGAUGUUAUUCAUGAAAACAACUCUCGAAAAAUACCUGCCACCCAAGAAAAGAGGCGAAAGAUGGGCUCAACCCGGAGAAAUUCCCGAGCAAUGCAUGGGAAAAAUAUUGCCGAUAAUGAAGAUGUACUUGGUGUGGCAGAGGAUAGAGAAACUAAGAAAGCAGAGGAUGAUUUAGAAGAAGCAUUAAGCAUCAGUCAGUCCAAGGAUGUGUCUUCAGUCAGUACCACAGAUCUUAAUUCAGAAAUGUUAGCUAGUGUAACUGAUUUAAAAGUUGAUCAUCUUCACAGUUUUAGACCAACAGUGCCUGAAACACAUGAAAAUACCCUUCAAAUAUGUGACAAUCAAUUAGAAAAUGCUGAUGUUACCAAACAUCCACAGUCAGAGACUGUUACCAUUGAGAAGAGAAAAAAGAUGGGCUCGACUCGGAAGAAUCUCAGAAAAGGAGGAAUACGAGGAAAAAGAGAUGGAUAUGAGGACACAGAAAUUGAAGACACAAAUGUGCAAAUGUCUCAGGACUCUGAAAUGAGCUUAGUAAGAGAAGAUGUAAGACAACAGUCAACUCACGACUACUCCAGUCAGCCAGAGGAUUCACUUCUCAGUGAGAUAGAGAGAGCAUUAAAUAAGACGUCUCAAAGUUCAUUAAGUUGUGAUUGGGAAUUAAUCGUCAAAGAACCAAACCCAGAUGACUUAGCCAAUGCUCCUGAUCUCAAUAUGCCAGAAAACUCAGAAAUCAAAUCUCUUCAGCCAAUGCCAUCGGCUCACAGUGAACCCAACUCACCAGGAGGACGAAGAAGAAAAAUGGGUUCAACUCACAAAAAUCUCAGACAGCAGCUCAAAGCAGAAAGGGAGGAUGAAGACAAAGAGGAUGGGGAAAUAGAUGAGAACUCAAAGACAAAUAAGCAAGAAAAGAAGGACCUUGAAAGAGUUGAGGUGUCUGUAGUGCAUAAUAUUACUGAAAACAAACUGAAUAAAGAGUAUCUCGAUGUCUCUAGUGCACACACAAGUAGCAAUCAGCUAGAAGAGAGCACUAACCCUGUUAGCCAAGAAAAGACGUCUCCAUCAACUAAAAGGAAGUUUGGGUCCAGACGUGCUAAUAAGGGCAAACAAGGCCUUGGUAGGUUGGCUGAUUCUGAUUUUGGGAAUGAUUUAGAAGAUGGAGAUCAUAAACCAGACAGCUCUGAGGUCAAGGACAAGCUGCACAGUGAUGACUUAGCGGUGUGUAUCUCUUUGUUUAGAAAAUGUCCUUAUAUUUUUGUACUUCAGCUUUUAAUGGAAAUUGUACACAUUACUUUAAAUUACUAA
rnacentral:lncRNA from 1 species